AGAAUCCAUAAAAUUAACCUCUAUCCUUUUCAUCUUUUAUUUGUUCCUGCCUUUCAAAUCACAAAUAGCUUUCUCCUCCUCAGGACAAAGAAAUCAAGAGGAAAAGAACCUACCAGAAAAUAAAAAUGGCUUGUUUUAGGCUAAGAAAGUCCAGAACCACCUCUACCAUGAAGGCUACCUCAUCAGACGCUACUCUUACAUCACACCAAGAAAAUCCAGAACCCAAGAAUCUCAAACAAGAAGUUCUUUUGCAAAUCCCAGCAUGCACAGUUCAUCUGAUGGAAGGAGGAGAAGCACUAGAACUCUCCACAGGCGAGUUCACUCUUUUUCGAAUCUUGGACGAUAAUGUUUCUCUUGCUACAAUUGUGAAAGUUGGUGAUAAUCUUCAAUGGCCUUUGACAAAAGAUGAACCGGUGGUUAAGAUUGAUGGUUUACACUAUCUAUUUUCUUUGCCAAUGAAAGAUGGUGAUCCUUUGAGCUAUGGUGUGACUUUCUGGGAGCAGUACAGUAGCAGUUUGGGUUUGCUGGAUUCGUUCCUUUCUGAACAUUCUUGCUUUUCCGGGUCUGCAACAUCAACUAGGAGUAGAAAUCUUGACUGGAAAGAGUUUGCUCCAAGUGUUGAAGAUUACAACAAUGUUUUGGCCAAGGCUAUUGCAGGAGGAACUGGUCAGCUUGUCAAGGGAAUUUUCAAAUGUAGUAAUGCAUACAGUAACCAGGUCCAUAAAGGAGGGGAAAUGAUUUUAACUCGAGCUGCAGAGGAGAAAAAUGGUGUUACAGCCAAAGAAAUUAGGAGCAGCAACAGAACUACUGGGGCCACAAAGAAUUCCAAAGUCAACAAAAGCUUAAAACGGUACCCCAAGAACAAAUAAUUUCAUUUCAAAAUACAAUAGGAACAUGUCUCUUUUCUCUUUUUUCUAGUCAAAAUGUAUGAUUGCUAGUUGCUACUACUAAUAAUAUAGUGUGAGAAAGCUGUCCAAGAUGACAGAAAAGCUGAGCAAAACUAUGCUUGAUGGUGUUGGCAUUGCUACUGGUUCGGUUAUGGCGCCUUUAGUAAAAUCCCAGGCAGGGAAGGCAUUCCUAUCCAUGGUACCAGGAGAAGUCAUCUUAGCUUCACUUGAUGCUGUCAACAAGAUUCUAGAUGCAGCUGAAGCUGCUGAAAAACAAGCUCUCUCUGCAACCUCAAAGGCUUCAACCAAAAUGGUCACUGAUAGGUUUGGCGAAAGUGCAGGCGAGGCUACUGAGGACGUGUUUGCUACUGCAGGGCACUGUGCUAGCACUGCUUGCAAUAUAUUCAAGAUAAGAAAGGCCAUCAAUCCAGCAUCAUCUGUCUCAUCAGGAAUGCUGAGGAAUGCAGCAAAAUAUAGAACUAGCAAGUCAUAAGCCUCAGAGUGAAUGUAUCAUGUGGAAGUUGAAAACAUGAACAAUGUUUCGUUUGAUCAUCUGAUAAUCUUAUUUACUUGUUUGAUCUGAAAUCCAUAAUCUUAUUUACAUCCCACAAUAUGAAUGGUCAAUAUUCUGACAACUAAGCAAGUUUAAAUUCACUAAUA
rnacentral:misc_RNA from 1 species